GCCGGGUGCGGUGGCUCACACCUGUAAUCCCAGCACUUUGGGAGGCUGAGGUGGGCGGAUUGCCUGAGGUCAGGAGUUCGAGACCAGCCUGGCCAACAUGGUGAAACCCCAUCUCUA
rnacentral:SRP_RNA from 2 species